rnacentral:tRNA from 2 species
GGCGGCAUAGCAUAACGGACCAAUGCUCCGAGCUUCUACCUCGGACGAUGAGAGUUCAAAUCUCUCUGCCGCUUCCA